AGCGGCGGACGGGUGAGUAACACGUGGGUAACCUGCCCAAGAGACUGGGAUAACACCUGGAAACAGAUGCUAAUACCGGAUAACAACACUAGACGCAUGUCUAGAGUUUGAAAGAUGGUUCUGCUAUCACUCUUGGAUGGACCUGCGGUGCAUUAGCUAGUUGGUAAGGUAACGGCUUACCAAGGCAAUGAUGCAUAGCCGAGUUGAGAGACUGAUCGGCCACAUUGGGACUGAGACACGGCCCAAACUCCUACGGGAGGCAGCAGUGGGGAAUCUUCCACAAUGGACGAAAGUCUGAUGGAGCAACGCCGCGUGAGUGAAGAAGGGUUUCGGCUCGUAAAGCUCUGUUGGUAGUGAAGAAAGAUAGAGGUAGUAACUGGCCUUUAUUUGACGGUAAUUACUUAGAAAGUCACGGCUAACUACGUGCCAGCAGCCGCGGUAAUACGUAGGUGGCAAGCGUUGUCCGGAUUUAUUGGGCGUAAAGCGAGUGCAGGCGGUUCAAUAAGUCUGAUGUGAAAGCCUUCGGCUCAACCGGAGAAUUGCAUCAGAAACUGUUGAACUUGAGUGCAGAAGAGGAGAGUGGAACUCCAUGUGUAGCGGUGGAAUGCGUAGAUAUAUGGAAGAACACCAGUGGCGAAGGCGGCUCUCUGGUCUGCAACUGACGCUGAGGCUCGAAAGCAUGGGUAG
rnacentral:rRNA from 1 species